ACACUGCUGAGGAGUCCCAUACUAGGACGAAACGGCUGUCCAGUU
rnacentral:hammerhead_ribozyme from 1 species